rnacentral:lncRNA from 1 species
AAAAGAGUAAAAGAAGGAGGAAGAAGUGAGUGCGGUGUAUUGGAGCCAUAGCUAUAAUUAUUGAGGAAUCUUAAGCACAAAUUGUCUCUUGCGGGUAUUACUUGAACUUUUUCUUUGGUUAGCUUUUAAAUUCGAUUCUCUUGAUUGGAAGAUUCUAUAGAGUAAUAGAAAUUACAUAUUUCAUUUACACAAUUGAGAAUUUUCUUCCAAAAGAACCAAUAAAACUUUAUGAAAUUUGGAGUAAUAAAUUAAUGAAUACGUUGGAGUUGAUAAAUUAGUAAUUACUCAUAAGGGUUAAAUAUAAAUCUACAGAUUAAGAUUAAAACAUGAACCCCGAUGAUUGGGUAUUCUAAAAUAGAUAUAAUUAGCCUAAAGAAGGAAAUUAACCUGAGAUCGAUAUUAGGAAUUUGUACGAGUUACUUGAGGUGAAGCAGCUGGUAUUUCGGCACGAGUACUGUGAGUAGUAAUCUUACCAUAAUUUGUGUUUUCAUAACUUGCAUGGUUUAUAUAUGAUUUCUGAAAAUAAAUGUAUUACCGAUGCUUUAAAAUUUGCAUGUGGGACAAGUCUUUUACUUGAUAUGAUACCGAACAGUUUACUUGAGAUGUUCACUGAUUAAUCAAAAUAUUAUCACUGUUAGUAGCUAUAUUUUACCUUUACUUGAGAUAUGAUAACUGUUACCGAAAUAAAAUUACAAGAUUUGAUAAGGAAUAAUAUGCCCUUUAUUAUUUUGAAAACGCUUUUGUACGAGUAUUUACUAUUUACAAGAAAGAGUAUAAAUGGGAGGACACUUUGAAGGAUCCCGCAGCUAACGGCGGGUUCUUUAGACUUGGUGCACCUUGUAUUUACAGAUUACCGAUUACAGUUAUGGCCCUCGCUAGUGGGAAGGUAGAACUAGCAUACAGUUACAGUUUUUCCUCGAGUAGGGACCUACAGUUAUAUUUGACUCCUUUUACGAAGGGGUCCACACAGUGAUACAGAUUACUUGAUCCUUUUCUAGAAACCUCCCAAUAUAAAGAUUGAAUUUGACACAGAUUAUAUGAUCCUUUUCGAAAAUUUCCCAAAUAUAAAGAUUUGCUAUGACAGAGUAUUUAUCGAGUUUAUUACUGAAUUGUUAAAUUGAUUUUAUUACAGGAAACACAUGAUAAGAAUGAUUAUUAUUUCCGUUAUACAAAAGGGCAUUUUAUUUUGUGAUUAUUAUGCAAGCAUAUUUUCUGACUCGUCCCCAAAUAAAAACGGUUAUGGUUACGUGUUAUUACUCACUGAGUUGGCGACUCAUUCCCCACUAAAUUUUUUUACAGAUACAUCAAUUGAAGCAUGCGAGGAUUUUGUUAAUUAGAGCGCUCAGGAUAAGAAUUCUUGGUAGCCUCGCACUUGUUCAUGUGGGCGGAUGUUUUUAUCAAUUGUUAUAGUCAAUUCUUUAAAUUCUUGGAGUCGCUCCAUAGUCAUUCUUUUAGUGUCAUGAGUAUGUUGAGUAUCGUUCUUUAGUAUUAAAGUUGGAGAUAAUUAGUAUUUCUGGUUGUUAGUUGGUGGUUUAGUCAUGGUGGAGACUUGUGUUGGUUAAUUGACAUGCUGUCAAUUCUUUGGUGUGAUAUUAGGAUGUUUAGUUGUUAAUUUAAGACAGGAAAAAAUUUUGGGAUGGUCCAAAUACAGGGAAAACUCUGACCGAUUUUCUGUAAAAUUAUUGAUGAGGCUUACUUGGGAGCACUUGCUCCUAAGUGCCGGUCACAAUCCUAAAUUGGGUCGUGACAAAUAUUUUGCUAUAAACAUUAAGAUGUAUCUAUAGAAUAUAAUUUUUCUAAGUGAUAUUUAUUUAAAAUAAAUAAGGUGUU